UAAGGUUUCCUCUGGAAGUUUCAAAAUUGUUGCUGCUGCAGAGAUCGAGCCUGAAAAGCAGACAGACGGAGACAGAUGGAGGGGUUUGGCCUAUGAUAUUUCAGAUGACCAACAAGACAUCACAAGAGGAAAGGGUUUGGUUGAUUCUGUUUUCCAGGCUCCACAAAAUGCUGGAACUCAUUAUGCUAUCAUGAGUUCUUAUGAAUACCUUAGCACUGGACUUAAACAGUGAGUGGCUUGUUACACAAUUUUGUGAAUUCAAAACCAAAUAAAAUAGUCUUUUGGUCUAAAAUUUGUGAUGAUGAAUGUGUUUUAGGUACAACUUUGACAACACUAUGAGUGGUUUUUACAUUGCUCCUGCUUUUAUGGACAAGCUUGUUGUUCAUAUCACUAAGAACUUCAUGACCUUGCCAAACAUCAAGGUAUGUAAAUUAGGCACAUGAUUUCUCUAUAAACUAUACUAGGACUUUAGUAGAAUUGUGAUACAUGUUCACUGUUUUUGUUUUUGUUUUUGUUUUUAUAGGUUCCUCUCAUUCUUGGUGUCUGGGGAGGCAAAGGACAGGGAAAAUCUUUCCAAGCUGAGCUUGUUUUUGCCAAGAUGGGAAUCAAGUGAGUUCUAACUAUACUAGCCAAUUUCAUGCACAACUUAUGAGUCAACAUGCUUUCUUGUUACAUGGUACUUACGCUACGUAACUCAUGUCUGUUUGAUGUUGAAAUUGUGCUAACAGCCCCAUUAUGAUGAGUGCCGGAGAGCUUGAAAGUGGAAAUGCAGGAGAGCCAGCAAAACUGAUCAGACAGCGAUACCGUGAAGCUGCUGACAUAAUCAAGAAGGGAAAGAUGUGUGCUUUGUUCAUCAAUGAUCUUGAUGCAGGAGCAGGUCGUAUGGGUGGAACCACCCAAUACACUGUCAACAACCAGAUGGUGAAUGCCACACUCAUGAACAUUGCUGAUAACCCCACAAAUGUCCAACUCCCUGGUAUGUACAACAAGGAAGAAAAUGCUCGUGUUCCCAUCAUCGUCACAGGUAACGAUUUCUCAACAUUGUAUGCUCCUCUCAUCCGUGAUGGACGUAUGGAGAAAUUCUACUGGGCUCCUACAAGAGAGGACCGUAUUGGUGUCUGUACCGGAAUAUUCCGCCAUGACAAUAUCGCAAAUGAGGACAUUGUCAAGCUUGUUGACACCUUCCCUGGCCAAUCCAUCGGUAAUCUAUCUAUCUAUUUGUUUGUCUGUGUAUUUAUCUGUGUGUAUGAUAUUGACAAUCAUUGUAAACACAAUCUCAUUCAUGUGCUGCUAGUGCAGAUUUCUUUGGUGCAUUGAGGGCUAGAGUGUACGACGACGAAGUGAGGAAGUGGAUUUCUGGGAUAGGUGUUGAAGGAAUUGGAAAGAGGCUUGUGAACUCAAAGGAAGGACCACCGGAAUUCGACCAGCCAAAGAUGACACUAGAAAAGCUGUUGGAAUAUGGUAACAUGCUUGUCCAAGAACAAGAGAAUGUGAAGAGAGUCCAAUUGGCAGACAAGUAUUUGAGUGAGGCUGCUCUUGGUGAUGCUAAUGAAGAUGCUAUCAAAAGGGGAACUUUCUAAAAUGCAGACUCUUAAACAAGAGGCCUUUGUUGGAGGUUUGUACUUUCCUUGAUGUAACUCCAUUUUGAUCAUAAUUAGAAAAACUUGGUCUAAAAUUACUUUGUUGUUUUCUUUGCAGAUAUUGCUAUGUUCCUGUUCUUGAUUCAAAAGCCUCAAACUUUGAUCCAACUACUUGAAGUUGUGGUGGCACGUAACAUUCUCAAUGUAUCAUUUUGGUGGAAGGAAAAGAUUCCAAGUUUGAGAUGAUUUUAUAAUAUUUUUCUUUUUGGAGUGUCUCCCUUUGUAAUUUUGUUAUAUGUACAAUGUUAAAUUUGUAUUUGGAGCCUUUCUCUUUCUGCCUAUUACA
rnacentral:lncRNA from 1 species